rnacentral:rRNA from 1 species
CAGCACCUCAAGUGGUCAGGAUGAUUAUUGGGCCUAAAGCAUCCGUAGCCGGCGCUGUAAGUUUUCGGUUAAAUCUGUACGCUCAACGUACAGGCUGCCGGGAAUACUGCAGCGCUAGGGAGUGGGAGAGGUAGACGGUACUCGGUAGGAAGGGGUAAAAUCCUUUGAUCUAUUGAUGACCACCUGUGGCGAAGGCGGUCUACCAGAACACGUCCGACGGUGAGGGAUGAAAGCUGGGGGAGCAAACCGGAUUAGAUACCCGAGUAGUAC